rnacentral:rRNA from 1 species
GAGACACGGCCCAGACUCCUACGGGAGGCAGCAGUGGGGAAUUUUGGACAAUGGGCGAAAGCCUGAUCCAGCCAUGCCGCGUGAGUGAAGAAGGCCUCGGUUGUAAAGACUCUUUCUAGACGGAAAGAAAUACGCAUCUUCUAAUACAGGUGUGGAUGACGGUACCGUAAGAAGAAGCACCGGCUAACUACGUGCCAGCAGCCGCGGUAAUACGUAGGGUGCGAGCGUUAAUCGGAAUUACUGGGCGUAAAGCGUGCGCAGGCGGUGAUGUAAGACAGAUGUGAAAUCCCCGGGCUCAACCUGGGAACUGCGUUUGUGACUGCAUCACUCGAGUACGGCAGAGGGAGGUGGAAUUCCGCGUGUAGCAGUGAAAUGCGUAGAUAUGCGGAGGAACACCGAUGGCGAAGGCAGCCUCCUGGGCCAGUACUGACGCUCAUGCACG